rnacentral:rRNA from 1 species
CAGCAGCCACGGUAAUACGUAGGGUGCGAGCGUUAAUCGGAAUUACUGGGCGUAAAGCGUGCGCAGGCGGUUGUGUAAGACAGGUGUGAAAUCCCCGGGCUUAACCUGGGAACUGCGCUUGUGACUGCACAGCUAGAGUAUGGCAGAGGGGGGUGGAAUUCCACGUGUAGCAGUGAAAUGCGUAGAGAUGUGGAGGAACACCGAUGGCGAAGGCAGCCCCCUGGGCCAAUACUGACGCUCAUGCACGAAAGCGUGGGGAGCAAACAGGAUUAGAUACCCGUGUAGUCCCUGUCUCUUAACA